UAGCAAUGAAGAGGUGGCAUUAAACAGC
rnacentral:piRNA from 1 species